GAGUUUGAUCAUGGCUCAGAUUGAACGCUGGCGGUAGGCUUAACACAUGCAAGUCGUGCGAGAAAGUAUCUUCGGAUAUGAGUAGAGCGGCGGACGGGUGAGUAACGCGUAGGAAUCUACCUAGUAGAAGGGGAUAGCCCGGGGAAACUCGGAUUAAUACCGUAUACCUCCUUCGGGAGAAAGAAGGCCUCUCUUUGAAGCUUUCGCUAUUAGAUGAGCCUGCGUAAGAUUAGCUUGUUGGUGAGGUAAAGGCUCACCAAGGCGACGAUCUUUAGCGGGUCUGUGAGGACGAUCCGCCACAUUGGGACUGAGACACGGCCCAGACUCCUACGGGAGGCAGCAGUGGGGAAUAUUGGACAAUGGGCGCAAGCCUGAUCCAGCUAUACCGCGUGUGUGAAGAAGGCCCUAGGGUUGUAAAGCACUUUAAGUUGGGAAGAAAAGUUAUUGGUUAAUACCCAAUAACCGUGACAUUACCAUCAGAAUAAGGACCGGCUAAUUCCGUGCCAGCAGCCGCGGUAAUACGGAAGGUCCAAGCGUUAAUCGGAAUUACUGGGCGUAAAGCGCGCGUAGGUGGUUUAUUAAGUUGGAUGUGAAAUCCCCGGGCUCAACCUGGGAACUGCAUCCAAAACUGAUUCACUAGAGUACGAUAGAGGGAGGUAGAAUUCACAGUGUAGCGGUGGAAUGCGUAGAUAUUGUGAAGAAUACCAAUGGCGAAGGCAGCCUCCUGGAUCUGUACUGACACUGAGGUGCGAAAGCGUGGGUAGCGAACAGGAUUAGAUACCCUGGUAGUCCACACCGUAAACGAUGUCUACUAGCCGUUGGGGUACUUGAGACCUUAGUGGCGCAGUUAACGCGAUAAGUAGACCGCCUGGGGAGUACGGCCGCAAGGUUAAAACUCAAAUGAAUUGACGGGGGCCCGCACAAGCGGUGGAGCAUGUGGUUUAAUUCGAUGCAACGCGAAGAACCUUACCAGGUCUUGACAUCCUCGGAACUUUCCAGAGAUGGAUCGGUGCCUUCGGGAACCGAGUGACAGGUGCUGCAUGGCUGUCGUCAGCUCGUGUCGUGAGAUGUUGGGUUAAGUCCCGUAACGAGCGCAACCCUUGUCCCUAGUUGCCAGCACUUCGGGUGGGAACUCUAGGGAGACUGCCGGUGACAAACCGGAGGAAGGUGGGGACGACGCCAAGUCAUCAUGGCCCUUACGACCUGGGCUACACACGUGCUACAAUGGGGCGUACAAAGGGCUGCAAAAGCGCGAGCUGGAGCCAAUCCCAUAAAACGUCUCGUAGUCCGGAUUGGAGUCUGCAACUCGACUCCAUGAAGUCGGAAUCGCUAGUAUCGCGAAUCAGAAUGUCGCGGUGAAUACGUUCCCGGGCCUUGUACACACCGCCCGUCACACCAUGGGAGUGGGUUGCUCCAGAAGUGGUUAGCCUAACCUUCGGGGGGGCGAUCACCACGGAGUGAUUCAUGACUGGGGUGAAGUCGUAACAAGGUAACC
rnacentral:rRNA from 1 species